rnacentral:rRNA from 1 species
AACACGUGGGUAACCUGCCCAUCAGAAGGGGAUAACACUUGGAAACAGGUGCUAAUACCGUAUAACAAUCGAAACCGCAUGGUUUUGAUUUGAAAGGCGCUUUCGGGUGUCGCUGAUGGAUGGACCCGCGGUGCAUUAGCUAGUUGGUGAGGUAACGGCUCACCAAGGCCACGAUGCAUAGCCGACCUGAGAGGGUGAUCGGCCACAUUGGGACUGAGACACGGCCCAAACUCCUACGGGAGGCAGCAGUAGGGAAUCUUCGGCAAUGGACGAAAGUCUGACCGAGCAACGCCGCGUGAGUGAAGAAGGUUUUCGGAUCGUAAAACUCUGUUGUUAGAGAAGAACAAGGAUGAGAGUAACUGUUCAUCCCUUGACGGUAUCUAACCAGAAAGCCACGGCUAACUACGUGCCAGCAGCCGCGGUAAUACGUAGGUGGCAAGCGUUGUCCGGAUUUAUUGGGCGUAAAGCGAGCGCAGGCGGUUUCUUAAGUCUGAUGUGAAAGCCCCCGGCUCAACCGGGGAGGGUCAUUGGAAACUGGGAGACUUGAGUGCAGAAGAGGAGAGUGGAAUUCCAUGUGUAGCGGUGAAAUGCGUAGAUAUAUGGAGGAACACCAGUGGCGAAGGCGGCUCUCUGGUCUGUAACUGACGCUGAGGCUCGAAAGCGUGGGGAGCAAACAGGAUUAGAUACCCUGGUAGUCCACGCCGUAAACGAUGAGUGCUAAGUGUUGGAGGGUUUCCGCCCUUCAGUGCUGCAGCUAACGCAUUAAGCACUCCGCCUGGGGAGUACGACCGCAAGGUUGAAACUCAAAGGAAUUGACGGGGGCCCGCACAAGCGGUGGAGCAUGUGGUUUAAUUCGAAGCAACGCGAAGAACCUUACCAGGUCUUGACAUCCUUUGACCACUCUAGAGAUAGAGCUUCCCCUUCGGGGGCAAAGUGACAGGUGGUGCAUGGUUGUCGUCAGCUCGUGUCGUGAGAUGUUGGGUUAAGUCCCGCAACGAGCGCAACCCUUAUUGUUAGUUGCCAUCAUUCAGUUGGGCACUCUAGCAAGACUGCCGGUGACAAACCGGAGGAAGGUGGGGAUGACGUCAAAUCAUCAUGCCCCUUAUGACCUGGGCUACACACGUGCU